GAUGAACGCUGGCGGCGUGCUUAACACAUGCAAGUCGAACGGAAAGGCUCCUGCUUGCCGGGGUACUCGAGUGGCGAACGGGUGAGUAACACGUGGGUGAUCUGCCCUGCACUUCGGGAUAAGCCUGGGAAACUGGGUCUAAUACCGGAUAGGACGAUGGUUUGGAUGCCAUUGUGGAAAGUUUUUUCGGUGUGGGAUGAGCUCGCGGCCUAUCAGCUUGUUGGUGGGGUAAUGGCCUACCAAGGCGUCGACGGGUAGCCGGCCUGAGAGGGUGUACGGCCACAUUGGGACUGAGAGACGGCCCAGACUCCUACGGGAGGCAGCAGGGGGGAAUAUUGCACAAUGGGCGCAAGCCUGAUGCAGCGACGCCGCGUGGGGGAUGACGGCCUUCGGGUGGUAAACUCCUUUCGCUAGGGACGAAGCGCAAGUGACGGUACCGGGAGAAGAAGCACCGGCUAACUACGU
rnacentral:rRNA from 1 species